rnacentral:tRNA from 1 species
GCCUGGGUGGCUCAAUGGGUUGAUCAUCUGGCUUUGGCUCAGACCAUGAUCUCACAGUUUGUGGGUUCAAGCCCUGCAUCAGGCU